rnacentral:lncRNA from 1 species
UGUCACUGUGGUCUCUUCAGAUGCCCCCGACUAUGAUUCUGAAGUUAAUAAAGCACUUGAGGGUCAUGGGGCUUUCCUGACAGGAACCACACAAGCUGGAGCCAAAUCCAGAAGCUGUGCACCAAGUCCUUCCAUGUUUGUGGCUGCUGUGGACAGUCUGAACUGCAAGUCUGGCCCUGCUCUGUCACUGAAGGCACAACCUCUUGAACUCUCUCACUUUGAACUGUAGUAGUAGCUAGUGCCGCUGCUGAUCCAACAAUCUAGUUCAAUACGAGACAACAUAAGCUUUCCAACAUCCAACCUGGAACAUUCUGUCUCAGAGACGACAGUGUGUACACUUGAAAGGACAGACCAGGUGAGGAAGACGGAGAGGUCCUAUGUGGCUUUCUCACAGUGUGCUUGAUCUCAGCCCACUUCCCAAAAUUCCUUCAGUCCCAGCCCAAAUUAGGAGUAGUUCUAAGAAGAAUAGAGCCCUGAAGUGCUGAGAGGAACUGAGAGAUCCCUGGCUGCCAUGUUCCAUGUAGAGACUCUUCAGGAUCUUCUGUGAGGGCUCAUCCCUCUUCAUUCUUUGGACGUCAUGUGCUAUGAAUGCUUACCCUCUGACACUGUUCACUUUGCAGACCUGCCUGACACUUUAGGAAAGUUCUCCCACUCUGCCUGACUUCUGGGUCACACCUUCCAUUUAUAUAAAGUGUGCUUAGCGGGGUCAAAGAGGAACAUGAUUAACACAGUGCAUUGAGUAGCUAGCCUUCUGUAAUGCCUAGAGAAAGCACACGAUGGGCCCCUGGAAACAGUCAGCUCUGUUUCUCUCAGUGGCCUAGACUUGACGAUCAAGCAUCCAUCAGCUUAUUAGAAAGACACGUUUCUGGACUUCCACCUUCAGUUCCUAGGUCUUUUCUGAAUGGCGUUUAUCAAGUCUUGGCAUGAAUCUCUAGGAACAUGGGAAUAUCCUGCAAAGUUCUAUCCCCUAUGCACGGUCUCUGCUUUCCUUUCCUUCUGGGAACUUAACCCCCAUGACUCUCUUUGUGAAGUGCUCAUCCUUUGGUCUGCUCACAUAUCUUCUUUUCAGAGUCUCAGCGCAGUGUCGGGAUGUCAGGAAGCUGUGGGCUGGGUCAUGGCGAAGGUACUGAAGACUCUGUCCUUCUCAUCCCAUGAUACUGCAUCCUCUCACUUCUCCCUUGCAGAUUGUUGUGUUUUCCCACAAGGAUGCUGCUCACUAAUUUGCCCUCUGUGGAAUGGUGGCCCCAGGGAAGCAAGGACAGGAUCACCACAGGCUUGUCUCUCAAUAGGAUUGGUACUUCCUGGAAGGUCACUGGUGGAGGGAUGUUCAGGAUCUCUGACCGCCCCCUUCCUCGAUGAAAGGCUAGUGACUGCUCAGCCUUUCAUGUUAUUUUCCUUCUGCUAGCCUGUGCUUCUCUGCGUAGGUCCAAUUCAGUGCUACCAGGUAUGUAUGAGACCUGCAGACCUUACCCGAGUUUUUGCAGUUGGUAUGAUGGCUCUGAGAUCAUGUAACCUUGCCAAACAUUUUAAAUAUUAAUAUUUACUCACUUACUUAACCACUCACUGUCUCCUCUACCCUGUCUGUCUGUCUGUCUGUCUCUUCAGAUCACCCUUCGUAUGGCCCCACUUAAAGACAGAACAGUAAUUCACCAUGGACCUCAUCUUUUAGAGCCUCUUGACACAAACAGCUUGGCCCUGAUGAUGUCCCCAGCUUAGCAAUGGACUACAGCCAAGAAGCCUGGCCACAAUAAGGACGGAUCACAUCCUUAGGGAGGACAUCUAUGAAAAGCAUCUAUGCACAGGAGAAAAGUGCAAGGACCGAAGUCUCAUCAGGAGUUCCAGGACACAGAGAGCCUGACAGACUCAGGCCAGAGGUUACCUCCAGAGUCCUAGAAGAGGAAGAGGGUCCAACUCUACAGCAGCCUCUUGCUGGUGCUGUUGCAACCAGGACUAUGAUUGUGAGACUUGUGUCUCUGUGGAUACCAGGUUCAGGCGUCUUGUGCCCAUGCAUCUACGGACACCUCUCAUUCCUCAUUUGGUAUAACUUUGCAAGUCCUGAGAUUAAGGCUAUCAUGUACUGAUGGUGUCCCACUUGACACAUAGGCUACAGAUGACAUUAAAUCUGCAAUUCUCUACUUUGUGAUUAUUGAUCCUUUCCAAAUUGGUUUGACUGGGAACAAGGCUCAGAGUUCGA